UAGGGAAUCUUCGGCAAUGGACGGAAGUCUGACCGAGCAACGCCGCGUGAGUGAAGAAGGUUUUCGGAUCGUAAAGCUCUGUUGUAAGAGAAGAACGAGUGUGAGAGUGGAAAGUUCACACUGUGACGGUAUCUUACCAGAAGGGGACGGCUAACUACGUGCCAGCAGCCGCGGUAAUACGUAGGUCCCGAGCGUUGUCCGGAUUUAUUGGGCGUAAAGCGAGCGCAGGCGGUUAGAUAAGUCUGAAGUUAAAGGCUGUGGCUUAACCAUAGUAGGCUUUGGAAACUGUUUAACUUGAGUGCAAGAGGGGAGAGUGGAAUUCCAUGUUGUAGCGGUGAAAUGCGUAGAUAUAUGGAGGAACACCGGUGGCGAAAGCGGCUCUCUGGCUUGUAACUGACGCUGAGGCUCGAAAGCGUGGGGAGCAAACAGGAUUAGAUACCCUGGUAGUCCACGCUGUAAACGAUGAGUGCUAGGUGUUAGACCCUUUCCGGGGUUUAGUGCCGUAGCUAACGCAUUAAGCACUCCGCCUGGGGAGUACGACCACAAGNUG
rnacentral:rRNA from 1 species